UACGUAGGGGGCAAGCGUUGUCCGGAAUCAUUGGGCGUAAAGAGCGUGUAGGCGGCUCGGUAAGUCCGCUGUGAAAGUCCAGGGCUCAACCCUGGAAUGCCGGUGGAAACUGUCGAGCUAGAGUCCGGAAGAGGCGAGUGGAAUUCCUGGUGUAGCGGUGAAAUGCGCAGAUAUCAGGAGGAACACCAAUGGCGAAGGCAGCUCGCUGGAGCGGUACUGACGCUGGAGGCGCGAAAGCGUGGGAGCGAACAGG
rnacentral:rRNA from 1 species